rnacentral:misc_RNA from 1 species
CCUCCUUACCUAAAAGUUGCGAGAUGCACUUGAUGCAGUGCCUACACAGAUAGUCUUGUCAUAGAGAGAAGAACGUAAAAAGUUAGCCUUAAUAAAUAAAGAUUUUAGAAGUCCUUAUUUAUUAGGGUUUUUUACUCUAAACCUGUUCUUUAACAAUUUGGAAAGCUGAUAUUAAGUAAUCAAAACUGAAAGAGUAUUGAUUAGAAAGACAUCGCGUAAGUGAUGAGAGAUUUAAUCAAGUAGCUACUCUAUCUGACAAAGAAGAAUUAUUUGCCACCGCAAAUGAUUCGGAUGAUUAGAAUUAUCAUGCAUACAACAGUAAGCGCAUUGUAAUGAUGUGGUUUACGUCAAACACCUGAUUAAAAAGGCGGGUGAUUGCGAGUUAUUGUUUCGAGGUGGAAAGUCAUGUCCCACUAAGAGGCAAUAGCGACGAUUUUAGGCUUAAGUAAGCGAGUUCGUAGAGCGCGCAGGCUAGGGUUAAAAGCAGGAGCUAUUUUGGGGUUGUAUGGGUUAAGUGAUUAAGCGUAUACGGUGGAAUGC